rnacentral:rRNA from 1 species
GUCAACACAAGCAGCAACUAUAAACCGCUGCUCGCCAGAGAAGUACAGGUGAAAAACCAGAAACUCAAAGGACUUGGCGGUGUCCCAUAUCAACCUAGAGGAGCCUGUCCCAUAAUCGAUACUCCACGUUAGACCUGACCUGCUUUUGCCCCUCAGCCUAUAUACCGCCGUCGCCAGCUUGCCUAAUGAUAGGAACACAGCAAGCAAAACAGCCCUCACUAACACGUCAGGUCAAGGUGUAGCUAAUAAGCAGGCCUCAGAUGGGCUACAUUUUCUAGCCAAAAGAAAAUCACCAAACGCACCAUGAAAUAUAAGCCGUAAGGUGGAUUUAGCAGUAAAUCGGGCAAGAAAGCCCAAUUGAAAGUUGCCCUGGG